GACGAACGCUGGCGGCGUGCUUAACACAUGCAAGUCGAACGGAAAGGCCCUGCUUUUGUGGGGUGCUCGAGUGGCGAACGGGUGAGUAACACGUGAGUAACCUGCCCUUGACUUUGGGAUAACUUCAGGAAACUGGGGCUAAUACCGGAUAGGAGCUCCUGCUGCAUGGUGGGGGUUGGAAAGUUUCGGCGGUUGGGGAUGGACUCGCGGCUUAUCAGCUUGUUGGUGGGGUAGUGGCUUACCAAGGCUUUGACGGGUAGCCGGCCUGAGAGGGUGACCGGCCACAUUGGGACUGAGAUACGGCCCAGACUCCUACGGGAGGCAGGAGUGGGGAAUAUUGCACAAUGGGCGGAAGCCUGAUGGAGCAACGCCGCGUGGGGGAUGACGGCCUUCGGGUUGUAAACCGCUUUCGCCUGUGACGAAGCGUGAGUGACGGUAAUGGGGAAAGAAGCACCGGCUAACUACGU
rnacentral:rRNA from 1 species